GAUGAAGAACGUAGCGAAAUGCGAUAAGUAAUGCGAAUUGCAGAAUUCAGUGAGUCAUCGAAUCUUUGAACGCACAUUGCGCCCUGUGGUAUUCCGCAGGGCAUGCCUGUUCGAGCGUCAUUUCAACCCUCAAGCCUCGCUUGGUGUUGGGCCCUGCCCGCCGCGGCCGGCCCUAAAGAUAGUGGCGGCGCCGCCUGGCCCUCAGCGUAGUACAGCUCUCGCUCCAGGGUCCGGCGGCAGCCUGCCAGAACCCCCCAACUCUGUGGUUGACCUCGGAUCAGGUAGGGAUACCCGCUGAACUUAAGCAGAUCAAUAAGCGGGGA
rnacentral:misc_RNA from 1 species